rnacentral:rRNA from 1 species
GAGUUUGAUCCUGGCUCAGAUUGAACGCUGGCGGCAUGCCUUACACAUGCAAGUCGAACGGCAGCAUGAUCUAGCUUGCUAGAUUGAUGGCGAGUGGCGAACGGGCGAGUAAUACAUCGGAACGUGCCCUGUAGUGGGGGAUAACUAGUCGAAAGAUUAGCUAAUACCGCAUACGACCUGAGGGUGAAAGUGGGGGACCGCAAGGCCUCAUGCUAUAGGAGCGGCCGAUGUCUGAUUAGCUAGUUGGUGGGGUAAAGGCCCACCAAGGCGACGAUCAGUAGCUGGUCUGAGAGGACGAUCAGCCACACUGGGACUGAGACACGGCCCAGACUCCUACGGGAGGCAGCAGUGGGGAAUUUUGGACAAUGGGCGAAAGCCUGAUCCAGCAAUGCCGCGUGUGUGAAGAAGGCCUCGGUUG